GCUGGGCAUGGUGGCGCAUGCCUGUAAUCCCAGCUACUCGGGAGGCUGAGGCGGGAGAAUUGCUUGAACCCAGGAGGCGGAGGUUGCAGUGAGCUGAGAUCGCGCCAUUGCACUCCAGCCUGGGUAACAAGAGCGAAACUCUGUCUCAC
rnacentral:sRNA from 1 species